rnacentral:snRNA from 1 species
GUGCUCUCUUCGGCAGCACAUAUACUAAAAUUGGAUCAAUACAGAGAAGAUUAGCAUGGUCCCUGCGUAAGGAUGACAAGAAAUAAAAA